UACAGAGGUCUCGAGCGUUGUUCGGAUUCAUUGGGCGUAAAGGGCGCGUAGGCGGUGAGAUGCGUCCGUUGUGAAAUCGCCCGGCUCAACUGGGCGGGGUCAGCGGAUACGGUCUCACUCGAGCAAGCUAGGGGGCAAUGGAAUUCCCGGUGUAGUGGUGGAAUGCGUAGAUAUCUGCAGGAACACCCGUGGCGAAAGCGGCGCGCUGGACCACUACUGACGCUGAGGAACGAAAGCUAGGGGAGCAAACAGG
rnacentral:rRNA from 1 species